UACAGUGGGGGCAAGCGUUAUUCGGAAUUAUUGGGCGUAAAGGGCGCGUAGGCGGCUUUUCAAGUGACGGGUGAAAUCCCUCGGCUUAACCGAGGAACUGCCUGUCAGACUGGAAGGCUUGAGACCGGGAGAGGUGAGUGGAAUUCCCAGUGUAGCGGUGAAAUGCGUAGAUAUUGGGAGGAACACCAGUGGCGAAGGCGGCUCACUGGACCGGAACUGACGCUGAGGCGCGAAAGCGUGGGGAGCAAACAGG
rnacentral:rRNA from 1 species